UGUGGACAAGAACCACACACGAUUGUUGUUCCUUUGACUCAAGGAUAUUUACAAUGGUGUCUACAGAAUAGUCUAACUUUACAAAUUGCUUUUGCAGAUUUCAAAGGAAAGAUAGAUAUUCAUCUUCCUGCACACAAAAUGUUUACCUUGCUACAAAAUAUACAACUAGAAGAAAAAGAAUUGUGUGCAGAGUUACCUACUGAUGGCCCUACAGUAUUUAUGGAUGGCAGUGGAAAAACAGGAAAGGCAGUAGUAGUUUGGAAAGAAGGUCAGAAAAUGGGCCAAAGUGGAUUCCAACUAAAUGGA